UACAGAGGGGGCAAGCGUUAUUCGGAAUUAUUGGGCGUAAAGGGCGCGUAGGCGGCCUGGCAAGUGACGGGUGAAAUCCCUCGGCUUAACCGAGGAACUGCCUGUCAUACUGCUGGGCUUGAGUCCGGGAGAGGUGAGUGGAAUUCCCAGUGUAGCGGUGAAAUGCGCAGAUAUCGGGAAGAACACCCGUGGCGAAGGCGG
rnacentral:rRNA from 1 species